UUAAGUAUUUUUGCAUUUACUUAAAAGUAUCAAAGUUGAAUUUUGUCUUGAAGUAGCCCCCUGUCUGCCUCUCUGCCUCUUGUGAACUGGUGUCUGCUUUCCUAAGCGUGAAGACUUGAAGUCUGGGUAGCUGUCACCUUGUCAUUGUUAUAGUGAAGCCAGUUAACUGUGAGGUGGUUGUCGGCUGCUGGUGGAGGCUAGGCACUCUCUGUGGUAAGCUCACCGGGACACAAUAGUUUGCACCUGUUUGUCGUGGUUGCUGUUUGCUGUGAGUUCACAAGUGACUUUAUGUGAGACUGCUUCUCCCUGGUGAUCAUUUGACCUCCUUUUCUUCCGGAGCCAAACAGAGGAGCAUUUGACCGAGAAACACUCUCCGCUCUCCAACAAGUGGAUGUGAAGAAGGAGAAAUUCUGACCUUGGAAAAUAAAAAUGUUGUUGCCAUGGGAACUGUUAAUCCUCCUGUCACUCAAAGAAUGGCUGUGUGGUGAGCCGCCAUGUUAAGUCGCUUUUCGUGACACACCUGAUAUGCACAUCUCUCACAGGGAGGGAUGCCUCCAUCCUUCUAUAAAUGCAUGUUUGGGAUUCAUUUGA